rnacentral:misc_RNA from 1 species
AACGCACAUUGCGCCCCCUGGUAUUCCGGGGGGCAUGCCUGUCCGAGCGUCAUUGCUGCCCUCAAGCACGGCUUGUGUGUUGGGCCCCCGCCCCCCGGCUCCCGGGGGGCGGGCCCGAAAGGCAGCGGCGGCACCGCGUCCGGUCCUCGAGCGUAUGGGGCUUCGUCACCCGCUCUGUAGGCCCGGCCGGCGCCCGCCGGCGACCCCCCUCAAUCUUUCUCAGGUUGACCUCGGAUCAGGUAGGGAUACCCGCUGAACUUAA